rnacentral:rRNA from 1 species
AGAGUUUGAUCCUGGCUCAGAACGAACGCUGGCGGCAUGCCUAACACAUGCAAGUCGAACGAUGCUUUCGGGCAUAGUGGCGCACGGGUGCGUAACGCGUGGGAAUCUGCCCUCAGGUUCGGAAUAACAGUUGGAAACGACUGCUAAUACCGGAUGAUGACGUUAAGUCCAAAGAUUUAUCGCCUGAGGAUGAGCCCGCGUAGGAUUAGCUAGUUGGUGUGGUAAGAGCGCACCAAGGCGACGAUCCUUAGCUGGUCUGGGAGGAUGAUCAGCCACACUGGGACUGAGACACGGCCCAGACUCCUACGGGAGGCAGCAGUGGGGAAUAUUGGACAAUGGGCGCAAGCCUGAUCCAGCAAUGCCGCGUGAGUGAUGAAGGCCUUAGGGUUGUAAAGCUCUUUUACCCGGGAUGAUAAUGACAGUACCGGGAGAAUAAGCUCCGGCUAACUCCGUG